UACGAAGGGGGCUAGCGUUGCUCGGAAUGACUGGGCGUAAAGGGCGCGUAGGCGGCUCAUACAGUCAGAUGUGAAAUUCCUGGGCUUAACCUGGGGGCUGCAUUUGAUACGUGUGGGCUUGAGUGGGGAAGAGGGUCGUGGAAUUCCCAGUGUAGAGGUGAAAUUCGUAGAUAUCGGGAGGAACACCGGUGGCGAAGGCGGUUCUCUGGGCCUUACCUGACGCUGAGGAGCGAAAGCGUGGGGAGCAAACGGG
rnacentral:rRNA from 1 species